GCUGUGAAGUCGGUUGAGAGGGGGAGAUCCAAACCAGUUCUAUGAAGAGGGCAAGCAUAGUUUGAAGUGUUGAUCAGCCUUACUGGUGUUUUGAAGAUGAUCUGGUCGUGUCCUAGCUUCUCUAAGAUGGCUGUGAAGUCAGUUGAGAUGGGGAGACUUCAAACCGGUUCCAUGAAGAGGUGAAGCUGAAGUGUGAAGUGUACGCAAAGCUGU
rnacentral:lncRNA from 1 species